AUGAGCGCGAGGCCGGCCCCGACCGCGACCGUCACUUCGCAGCCAGACGUCGUUGAGGGAAGAGUUCAGGAGAUCUCCCUGGAAGAUUACAAGGGCAAUAUGUCUUUUCUUCUUCUACCCCUUUGGAUUUCACCUUUGUCUGCCCCCUGAAAUUAUCGCCUUCUCUGACCGUGUUGAGAAUUCGGGAAAAAUUGGAUGCGAAGUGGUUGCUUGCUCUACAGACUCCCACUUCUCCCACCUUGCUUGGGUCAAAACUCCCCGCAAAGGGAAAGGGGGUCUUGGUACAAUGAAGAUCCCCCUUCUGCUGCAAGUCGAUGGAAGUUGCAAAGGCUUACGGAGUCCUUAAGGAGGAUGAAGGCAUUGCUUUCAGAGGCCUCUUUGUUAUUGAUGGCAAGCAGAAUCUCCGUCAGGUAACAAUCAAUGACCUGCCAGUUGGGCGUGAUGUAGAUGAAACGCUGCGAUUAGUACAAGCCUUCCAGUUCACAGAUGAGCAUGGUGAAGUAUGCCCUGCUGGCUGGAAACCUGGAGCCAAGACAAUGAAGGCCGAUCCUACUGGCAGCAAAGAAUACUUCCAGAAUGAAAAUUAAUAUAACAUCAUCAUUACUUGGAUAUUUUUUUUCUCCUUUUAUAAUAUUUAGGAUCUGUCUUGUUCAAAAGAGUUGGCAUUCAGGAUAUGGCAUUAGGUUCAUUCUGGUAAUGAUCUUUCCUUUUGUUUAAAACCGGUUUGAAAGCUCAAGUAAUUACAGUACACAACAAAGUUUGAAUCAAAAUAGUUCAGGUUAUUUUGAAGAAAAGCUGCGUUAUAUCACAAUAUCAGUAUUCUAUGUUUAGAAGGUGUAUAUUUAAUCAAUAAACUUGCCAGUCA